CCCUUGCCGAGCCCUAGCUCCACUUCACCCGCGCAGCGCCGCCCCCUCUGUCUCCUCACCAAAACUCCACCGAGAAGCUCCCCCACCGUCAAUCUCGCCGCCGCGUCGCCAUGGCCGCCGACGAGCUCACCUGAGCAGUGAAAUCGGACCCCCUCUGCUUCCUCUUCAUCCUGGACUUCUUCACGGAACCUGGGACACCAAGAUCUGCACGCGCCGUCCACUUCUGCAUCGUCUACCCCGGCCACUUCUCCUUCCUCAUCGCCGGUGACCUCCUCCGCCCCUCCUUCUCGUCACCGAGCACACCAGGCAUUUGCUUCUUCCCGGAUAGGAUCACGAAGUGGUGAUGUGAGGUACGACGAGUGCUCCGACAAGUUCUUCUGCAGCUUUUCACAGGCGAGCCCACCCCUUCACCUAUUUUACUUUUACAUGCUCUUUUGAUCUAUUGCUAUCCUUGUGUUGCGAUUCUGUUGUGUCACGUGUCCUAUCCACCUGUUACCUAUAUGUCCGAGAUACACCUCCUCGCCCUACCUAUUGUUUGUUGUUUGCCAGCUUUGCGAGUCGUAGGCGAGUUUAGGGUCUUGUGAUAUCUCGAGAUGUUCGGGAUAUCUUGUUGGGAGGUUAUCACAUGCUAUAUCUUUUGUUGGAGAUAAUCACACUUUACUUUAUUGUUAGCAACUAAAAAUUGUAAGCAGAGGCAUCUGUGAGCCCCUUUGCGAAAGCAUCGGAACUUUGACUUGCUAAUGUCCCCAAGGACCCGAGUUCUUGUUAUCUGUUCCGAGAUUGAGCGCUCUACCCGUACGUGGGGGAAUGGGACCCCCAUCACCCACUACCUUUCCUCGAGUCUGUUUAUUGGGAGCCACAACCUUGGUUUUAUUUGCCCAUAUGCACGAUAUGCACGUUUUACUUCUGUUGCCUUCGGGUGUUUAUUUCUGUACUGUACUCAUAACGCGGGACUCCUUAUCCUUGGCCGGUCGUUAGUGCCCGCCUUGGAAGCCGUCGCAAACCUCUGGGUCCGUAUCGGAGUACGGCCGAACUUCGUCACGGGUAGCUUAGUUGGGUGGCUCCCAUUAAACUUUCUCUUGCAUUGGGAACGGUCUUGAUGUGAGACUCCACCUGUAGUAAGUGGGUUCGAGCAUGCGUAUGGUUACAUUUGGGCAACCCCUGCAGGGUGUACAUCUUAUCGAUAAGCCGCGUCCGCGGUUAUGGACGACUUGGAAUUGUAUAGCUUGAUCAUAGAACAACUUACACCUUAUUUCCUGUUGUUAAUAAAUUGCUAAUAAAACCCUUUCAAAAGUGUGUGUGCCUUUGCAAUACCUCUUGGCGAAGGGGGAUCGCAUCGGCUGUGUUAUGUUUGCAGAGUAUAGAACUGUUACCUUGUGCGCUCUCUUAUCUUCUCUGAGUAGACGGAUGUUGUAGCGAGUCUCUAUUGGAUAGUAUCUUUGCUGCCGCUAAACUCCACAUAUAGCCGGGUGAAGUUUAUACCGCCCACCAGCGAGCAUAGCUGGUCUUGUCUCGCAAGUACGUGCCAAUGGUACUUACCCUCGCCUUCCUUUCUUUUUGUCUCCUCCCCCUUCUGUCGGCAACCGAUGGCCCGACUUUGACAGGUACGAGAUGACGACGUUAGCAAGGUUACCCUUCCGGCUUGGCCUGGGCAGGGUUAUGGACGCCAAUGGUUAUCUUCAGGACUCUUAGUCCAAUUUGUAUCUUGUCCGUACUCGGACGCAUUCGAUCUUCUGUAUGAUUUGGAUCUUUGUAUUGUAUCUUUGUAUCUUGACUCGUUAGAGUCGUUGUUGUAAUAUAUGUAUCUUGUGGGCUCUAUUGUAAUCAUGUUGUAAUGUUACCGCUCGU